UGGGGAAUAUUGCACAAUGGGCGCAAGCCUGAUGCAGCCAUGCCGCGUGUAUGAAGAAGGCCUUCGGGUUGUAAAGUACUUUCAGUCGGGAGGAAGGUGUCAAGGUUAAUAACCUUGGCAAUUGACGUUACCGACAGAAGAAGCACCGGCUAACUCCGUGCCAGCAGCCGCGGUAAUACGGAGGGUGCAAGCGUUAAUCGGAAUUACUGGGCGUAAAGCGCACGCAGGCGGUUGAUUGAGUCAGAUGUGAAAUCCCCGGGCUUAACCCGGGAAUUGCAGCUGUUACUGGUCAGCUAGAGUCUUGUAGAGGGGGGUAGAAUUCCAUGUGUAGCGGUGAAGUGCGUAGAGAUGUGGAGGAAUACCGGUGGCGAAGGCGGCCCCCUGGACAAAGACUGACGCUCAGGUGCGAAAGAGUGGGGAGCAAACAGG
rnacentral:rRNA from 1 species